rnacentral:lncRNA from 1 species
GAAUCCCUCAGUUUUUUUAUGCUUUUGUUAAGCUUCUCACGCUUUACUGCCACUGCCGGGGACUCCUCCAACAUCCUCUCAAUUCCCCCACCGUAAGGUCCCAACAACUCAUUCACAAUCUCAGCUUCCAUCUCUUUGUUCACAAGGUUGAAAACAGACAGCUGCAAGUGCAAUGCCAUGCAGUCCACAAGCCUCCUCAAAACAACCUUCCAAUAAGCAAUCAUUCUCAUUUUAAGGUCAUAAGCUUGAGCUAACACAUGCGGGUACUUCCUCAGAACACCGACUUCCACUUCCCCGAUGCCUUCUAUAUCUAUGAUAGAAGGCUUCUUCUCAUCAGUUAAGACUCCAUGAAUGAAUUCGUUUUGACUAGCCAUCAGCUUGUUCCAUUCGGAAACAUAAUCACCAUCACAUGUAUAAUCUGUCAGCUUUUCCAUCUCUACAAGCUCCAGCAUCCACUUGAUUGACCUCUCCUUCAUCUUGGCCAUUAGACUAUGGCCGGCACGCCUUGCUGACAGCUGCAGCUGAUGAUAGUUAUCCGUAUAAUGCAUCAACACAGAAAUAACCACCUCUUCAAUGUAGUUCCACACUUUUUCCUCAAAUGCAAUCGGAAUACUCGAAAUUUCAUUCACUUUUGCCUGCAAGAUAAUGAGGAAAGCAUUGCGUGGAAGGAAGUUCGGAAGUGAAAUACCUUUGGCCUCCUCCAAGAUCCUGAUCUCCUCCAUCAAGAAGUUGCUCUUUGCAUCAGUUUCAGCACAUCUGUGAAGUUCAUCCGAGUACUGGUUGAGCAUCUCAACCAAUCUAGCAGUGCAGUGCAUGCGAUUGUCUUCCGCGUACUCCUGAAAUUCUCCUCUCAAAAGAAUCUUCCUAAGCGAUUCCUUAGCCAAGCCAGUGAUUUGCAUAAAAGCCGUCAUGGCCUCAGCAACCGAUGAAAGACUCUUUGGCAUUUUGUUCAGCUCCAUAAUGCAGAAGUUCAGCCUGUCAUUGAUCUUCUUCACUAUCUCAGGUAUAUUUCUUGCUAUGCUGUUUGCUUGAAUUUGGACCAGCUUCUGUGCUAAAACUGGAAUGCCGACAAUGGACUUGUCAAUCUUCGAAAGCAGAGGAUGGGUUUGAAAUAGUUCAUGAGCCAUCACCGCUGCCUCCUCAUCAGUUUCGUCACCAAUCCUGUUCCUUACACAGACAUAACCAAGACCAAUGUUUACAUCAUCUCCAGUGACCUUCUCAAGUAGUCCUUCCGGUGCCUUGUCCACUUUCGUAACCACAGCGAGCGUCCUCUCACCAGUUUUAUCUACACUUUGUGACAUCCGGAUUGACUCACACGUAGUAAAAUCCACCGUAGCAGACAAUACAUUCAGAAUAAUACUUUCCUCCGGCUUAAUAUACUCCAUGAUCAUAUCUUUGAUCUGAUCAUAGAUAUUUUCAGGUUGGCCAUGGACUGGAACCCUUGUGAUUCCCGGAAGAUCAACCAUAGUCAGAUCCGGAACCCCAUACUUCUUCACCAACAAAGUAAGUGGCGUGUUUGAAAUUCCCUUACCUCCCCCCGCAAUAGAAUUAGUAGCUUUCACAAUAUCUUUGGUGAUAUUUUCUUCAUCAGUACGAUCAACUCUGCCAUUGUACUCCAAGGAAAGUUCAGGCUGAGGACUCGAGUGGUGUUCGAGCCUCAUAAUAAGAGGCACUCUCGUGCAGAUGCCUUGGCCCCGAGGUAGGCUGAUGCCGGCCAAGGAUUCGAGCACGCUAGACUUCCCGGAUGACUGGUCUCCGACCACCACAAUCGUUGGCAGCUGAAUGCCUUCAUCCAUCACCUUCAAGCUGCGUAACUUGUCUACCGCAUCCAGAAGAGGGCGGAUCUUGUCGUUAUAGGACGACACAAUGGGUGCGCAUUUGAGGGGUACUGCGUCUAGUCCUGCCUGAACCAUUGCGAGGGAGCCUUCACCGUUUAUAACUGUGCGACUCGAUUCCAUUUUCCUUGGUCCUUGCGUUUCUGAAUUAUAGCAAGUCAAAACAAUGGUGAAAAAUCUAGAGGGAAACCGAGAUUGUAGAGAGAUGAGAGAGAAUUCGAAGAUGGAAAAUGUUCUGUAUUGGGUUUAUGACUUAAUGGAGUAAAAUGUUCUAUUUAUAGCUACUGCUAUAUAUCAUUCUUAGCCCUUAAGCAACUUAACUGACUCUCAAUCAACAAUAGCAACACAUCUAACAAAAAUGCUACUUUUCCGAUAUAUUUGUACCAUCAUUUGCUUACAUUGAUAAAUCGGACUCAUACUCAUAAGCUGACAUGGCAGCCACAUGACUUAAAAGUAAGAAGAUUACUUGUCAGCGAAGAUAUCAGUCAGGAAGAAGUGAGAAAGCUGGGUUUAGUAAGUGCCUUAGGCUUAAAGGCUCCUAGUUGUAUGUAUAAUUGUUCAGCAAAACCUAUCGAAGUAAAUGACAACCAGCCUUUUCAAAACCGCAUGCUGAGAGAGUUGUGAUUUGGACUUCCAAACGUUCAGCAAACCAAACCGCUUGCGAGCCUUUGAACUUCUAAACCCUAAUCAGUGUAAAUGUAAUAUGGACAGUUAACUGAUAACCAUUUUUUGUGCUUGAUGCUCUUGAACUUCAGUCAACCUUUAUAUAUUAUUCAUUCAAAUAAUCGAUGACUAGCUAGCCAAUGUAAGUUGUAACCCAACAGAGACGAGAUGUUGAAGAAAAUUAAAUAUUUUUUGUAAUUUGGUAAGACAAACAAAGGCACCCAUUGGAGAAAGGGAAGUGCUAGCAGCCUUUGCCCUAACAUUUGUGUUUGGACCUCUUCACUUUAACAACUAACAGGUAUCAUUUUCUAUACAAAAAAGCAAGAAUUUUAAAGCUUUUGUCUAGGAAUUAACGAUGAGAAAUAUAAAAUAUACAUUAUUAUGUCAUUCAUUAAAAUGAAAAUUUUCAAAUGCAAAAGUUAGUGCAAAAGUGUAUUUCUCUUAGAAAAAUUCAAUCUAACAACCAAAAUUAAAGUUAACAAAAAAAAGUAGAGAACUUAAUUCAUAUUGAAUCUACCCUUAUGAUCGUGCUCCAGAAAAAUUGAGAAGGAUGCAGGGUUUUUGAAUUUGGUAAAGCUUAAGGAUUAAGGUUGCUGUUUUUUUUUUUUUUUUUUUUUUUUUUUUUUUUUUUUGGAGAAAAGUGGAAGAGAAAGAGCCUUUGAAGAUUCCUUUCUGAGUUUUCACAUUGUGGGGAUUUUGUUUCACUUUUACCAUUGUAAGACCAUAGAUAAUGGAUGCUGACAUGGUUGGACAGAUGUCGAAUAGUGGUGUGGUAUGCCCAAUCGGUUUAGGUUGCUGAAAAUAGCAACUUUAACUAAAAAUAGUGCAGGACUUUAAAAGAGGAAGGGGAAAUAAGAGUUUGAGGAAAAAGAGGCAACUUUAAUUCAUCAUUUCAUAGGUUCUUUACGCUCUCCAUUAUUACAUAUUUAUGCUCCUCAUAAAAGAGAAAAUAGAGUUUUAACGAAAAGCCCGCGGUACUGUUCACUUUAAUGAAAAACCACAUUUUUACACUAAAAAGUCAAAUCUGGUACUAUUCAUAUUACUCUUUAUUUUGUUCUUAUCGUUAAAAUUCAAAGUUUUAAAGCAUUUUUCAUUAGUUUUCCUAAGAGAACAACCCUAGCUACUUGGACAUAAAAAAAAAGGCUAGUACGGGCAAGUUGCAAGAGGAGAAGUAGUGGGCUCAAGUAAAUGGGCUUAAUAACUCCCCCCUCUCCUUGAGAAUAGGCCUGACCUUAGGUCAAGAAAUCGAGGUAACGGGCCAAGAUGUCGUCAGCUUCCUCCCAGGUGACAUCUUCAGUGGGUAGGCCAACCCACUUGAUCAACCAUUUUGUCGCAGCUUUAUUUUUUUUUCUUGAAUAUGCCCUUGUCUAAAACUCUUUCUGGUUGCCAGUGUAGAACCCCAGUGGAGUCGAUAGGAGGCAAAACUGACAGUGGAGGAGAAAUACUACCAAUCUUUUGUUUAAGGAGAGACACAUGAAAGACGGGGUGGAUUUUGGAGUCUAAAGGCAAACGAAGCUGAUAUGCUACGAAACUGAUGCGCUUAGUUAUCUGAAAAGGUCCAUAGAACUUGGGUGCCAGCUUGUUUGUUGUUCUAGUAGCCACUGAUUGUUAGCGGUAUGGUUAAAGCUUCAGGUAAACCCAGUCACCAACAUUAAAUUCCCGCUCAGUUCUCUUGUUAUCAUAGACUUGUCUCAUUUUGUUCUCUGCAAGCUGCAAAUUUGUUCUCAUAAGACAGAUUAAUUUGUCCUUAUCCUGUAUUGCAGCAUCAAUUGAGUGUACCGUCGUGGAGCCGAGCAUAUACAUGCAAAGGUGGUUCAAUGUCAUAAACAGCCUGAUAUAGAGACAUUUUGAUGGAAGAUUGGAAGCUUGUAUUAUACCACCAUCUAGCCCAGGGAAUGAGAGAAGACCAAUUGGUGGGUUUGUCUAUUGAGAAACAUCGAAGAAAAUGUUCCAAUGUGCAGUUAAGGACUUUCAUUUGCCUAUUCGUUUGAGGGUGGUAACCUAAACUUAGGCAAAGUUUGUUGCCUUGGAGUUUAAAGAACUCUUGCCAAAAGUUACUAAGAAAAUUGGGUCGCGAUCUGAAACGAUCUAUUUUGGCAUACCAUGGAGUCAGAAAACCUCAUUGCUGAAAGUAUCAGCUACAAAGGCAACUGUGUAUGGGUGCUUUAAUGGGAUAAAGUGGCCAUACUUUGAUAGGCGAUUGAUGACAACUAGGAUCACGGUGUACGCGUUGGAAAAUGGGAGCCCUUUGACAAAAUCAAGAGUGAUGUCCUGUCAUAUGCCAGUGGGGAUGAGCAAGGGAUGCAGUAACCUAGGAGGGUGUUUUGUAUGCAUUAAGCCACAAUUUUUUUUUGUUUCCUUUCGAAUUCCCGGCCAUAAAACUUUUUUGGAGAGUCUUUUGUAUGUUCAAAGGAAGCCCAAGUGACCAUCUUAGAGAGAUGCAUGGAAUUCAUCCAAGAGUUUAGGUUGCCAUUGGGAUGUGAGUAGUGGGACAAAGAUCUGUUGCUUGUAGUGCAACACAUCAUUUAUAAUUGAGAACCCUUUGAUUGAAGUGUUGGGUAUUGGAACUAAAAGAUUCCAAACCUUUUGCACUUCUAGAUCCUAUGCAUAAGACUGUUGCAACUGAGGAAUGCAAUCAAAUAUAGGGGUAGAGAGGCCUAUUAAGAGCAAAAGUUCUUGUUGGCAGGAGAUAGCAUAUGGAGCACUGUUUUGAGAACCCGACCUAUACUCGACCGAGUAGUUGUACCCCAACAAUUUCACCAGCCAUUUUUAAUUUUUUUCACAAAAACUGUAAGUUAUAACUCACGUUUUCCAAUCGAUUUUAAGAACUUUUACAAGAUUCAUUAUAAGCCAAAAUUUGAGUCGUUUUAGUCGCACCACAUGUUUUCUAAAAUUAAUUUAGGACAUCCCAAAUAUUUUUCAACACCUACAAAUUUCUUUGGUGGCUUCACUAUUAGUUUAUACUAUUUUUCUAACUCAUAGUAACAACGAAAAAAUUUCUCAGCAUGACCAAAAUGAUUGAUGGUGCAUCAGAGACUACUUUUAUCGAUUUCAAAUUUGAAGGACUAAAGUAAGGAGUUAUGCCAGAAAGUGGCCCUCUACCACAGUGGUGGAGAGGAGUAUUGGCCUUACACUACGACAGAGCUUCGAACCAUGACGGCUCCCUAAUCUAACAUCUAAUUAAAAAAUCUAUUGUUUGACGAAGAAAAAAAAGUAAGGAGUUAUGUCAAUUUCAAAAUCCGUUUUGGCCCCUUUUUAACAUGGAUGGAGGGUUUCAAAUUCCUUGUUACUACCUUUUAGGGGUUUUAUUAAAUUUUAUGAAUUUUUUUGUUGGUAUAUUUGAGCGUGUCUUUAAAAUGAUUAAAAUUGUUUUAAUAUAAUAAAAUAAAAAGUGUUUAUGACAACAUUUUGACCAAAAAAAGGACUUUAUGGAGAGGUCUAUGAGCAAAAUGCAACUCUUACUACCUAUUUGUACUAUAAUUUGUACCACUAAUAAAGAUGAGACUCACAUGCGUUGGCGAGCCUUACCUCUAUUAGAGAUAUAGUAGAAAUAUAUGGUAAAUGUAGCAUUACUCGUCUAUGAGUGUUUUCAACGGAGUACAAUUCUCUGUCAUCCUAUUCCUAGUGUGGUUUAGUCCAUACUAAGUGUAUGGAUUCUAACAAACGAUCAAUUAAAACAUGAAAUCUAAUAUGGACAUUUAAUUAAAUGUUUAUUAAUAUUUACGGUGCGGUUCGGUUUCGGUGUAGUUUUCAAAAGCCAAAACCGAAACCAAACCGUUUUCUAUGUUGCGGUUCGGUUUCAAAACCGAAACCGUUUCAAAACCGCAAAACCAAACCAUUCGGUGCGGUUUGAUUUGGUUCGUGUUUUGGUUUCGGUUUUCGGUUCUAAGUGCCAAUCCCUAGGAGAGCGUGUCCCUUUUUUUUGAAAAAUAUGGAUCAUUUCCCUUAAGCUCCUCCUACACACACACACACACACACACACACACACACACACACAUAUAUAUAUUAAAAUGAUAACCUUUCUUGGAUAGAACUGAGCAUAUAAACAUGCAAAGGUAAUGUUAGAGAGACCAAAGUUUUAAACAAAAUAAUGUGUUACCAAUAAAAAAUAAGCACGUUAAUCAACGCUAAAGUAAUAAUUCAAUUAUCAAUAAGCACAUCAUUUGGUUUGUAAAUUUGAUUUAAAAAAUUUGGUCUCCCUAACAUUAUCCAACCUGCAAACAAGUUUAAUUAUCUUAGACAAGCAACAUUAUUUACAUAUUUACUUUCAGGCAAUUACAAAUUUGACGUCGAAAAGAAGAUUUAAGGAAAAUGGUUUUCUUAUUAAUUAGGAUUUUUACAAUGCGUGUCGCAUUCUUUACCUAAAGUUUUUAUGUCUGUCAGAUUGGUUAUGAAAGCUCACUGUCAUAUUAAUAAACGGUAUUAUAAGCAGAAAACAUGAGACAAAAAAUAGGAGUUAAACUGUAUGUAAGAGGAAAUCGCACUUAAAUUUCAUUAAUAACAGUAAACUUGACAAGGAUUACCACAAUCAUACGACUACGGACUAUUACACAACAAGAACACAAGGGAAACAAAAGAACUUAAAAACAAAAGUUGACUAACAAACAACCACCCACAUCAGACAACAGAAAGCUAAUUGCCAAGUUAGUUAAUCACCAUAAGUGAUAAUGCUGUCCAUAAUCUUGGCCACCACCUCCUUCGAAUCCCUCAGUUUUUUUAUGCUUUUGUUAAGCUUCUCACGCUUUACUGCCACUGCCGGGGACUCCUCCAACAUCCUCUCAAUUCCCCCACCGUAAGGUCCCAUCAACUCAUUCACAAUCUCAGGCUCCAUCUCUUUGUUCACAAGGUUGAAAACAGACAGCUGCAAGUGCAAUGCCAUGGAGUCCACAAGCCUCCUCAAAACAACCUUCCAAUAAGCAAUCAUUCUCAUUUUAAGGUCAUAAGCUUGAGCUAACACAUGCGGGUACAUCCUCAGAACACCGACUUCCACUUCCCCGAUGCCUUCUAUAGUUAUGAUAGAAGGUUUAUACUCGUCAGUUAAGACUUCAUGAAUGAAUUGAUUUUGACUAGCCAUCAACUUCUUCCAUUCGGAAACAUAAUCAUCAUCACAUGUAUAAUCCGUUAGCUUUUCCAUCUCUACAAGCUCCAGCAUCCACUUGAUUGACCUUUCCUUCAUCUUGGCCAUUAGAUUAUGGCCGGCACGCCUGGCUGACAGCUGCAACUGAUGAUAGUUCUCCGUAUAAUGCAUCAACACAGAAAUAACCACCUCUUCAAUGUAGCUCCACACUUUUUCCUCAAAUGCUAUCGGAAUACUCGAAAUUUCAUUCACUUUUCCUUGCAAGAUAAUGAGGAAAGCAUUGCGUGGAAGGAAGUUCGGAAGUGAAAUACCUUUGGCCUCCUCCAAGAUCUUGAUCCCCUCCAUCAAGAAGUUGCUCUUUGCACCAGUUUCAGCACAUAUGUGAAGUUCAUCCGAGUACUGUUUGAGCAUCUCAACCAAUCUAGCAGUGCAGUGCAUGCGAUUGUCGUCCGCAUAGUCCUCAAAUUCUCCUCUCAAAAAAAUCUUCCUAAGCGAUUCCUUAGCCAAGCCAAUGAUUUGCAUAAAGGCUGUCAUUGCCUCGGCAACAGAUGAAAGACUCUUUGGCAUUUUGUUCAGCUCCAUAAUGCAGAAGUUCAGCCUGUCAUUGAUCUUCUUCACUAUAUCGGGUAUAUUUCUUGCUAUGCUGUUUGCUUGAAUUUGGACCAGCUUCUGUGCUAAAACUGGAAUACCGACAAUGGACUUGUCAAUCUUCGAAAGCAGGGGAUGGGUUUGAAAUAGUUCAUGAGCCAUCGCCGCUGCCUCCUCAUAAGUUUCGUCACCAAUCCUGUUCCUUACACAGACAUAACCAAGACCAAUGUUUACAUCAUCUCCAGUGACCUUCUCAAGUAGUCCUUCCGGUGCCUUGUCCACUUUCGUAACCACAGCGAGCGUCCUCUCACCAGUUUUAUCUACACUUUGUGACAUCCGAAUUGACUCACACGUAGUAAAAUCCACCGUAGCAGACAACACAUUCAGAAUAAUACUUUCUUCCGGCUUAAUAUACUCCAUGAUCAUAUCUUUGAUCUGAUCAUAAAUAUUUUCAGGUUGGCCAUGGACCGGAACCCUUGUGAUUCCCGGAAGAUCAACCAUAGUCAGAUCCGGAACCCCAUUCUUCUUCACCAACAAAGUAAGUGGCGUGUUCGAAAUUCCCUUACCUCCUCCCGCAAUAGAAAUAGUAGCUUUCACAAUGUCUUUGGCGAUAUUGUCUUCAUCAGUACGAUCAACUCUGCCAUUGUACUCCAGGGAAAGUUCAGGCUGAGGACUCGAGUGGUGUUCCAGCCUCAUAAUAAGAGGCACUCUCGUGCAGAUGCCUUGGCCCCGAGGGAGGCUGAUGCCGGCCAAGGAUUCGAGCACGCUGGACUUCCCCGAUGACUGGUCUCCGACCACCACAAUCGUUGGCAGCUGAAUGCCUUCAUCCAUCACCAUCAAGCUGCGUAACUUGUCUACCGCAUCCAGAAGAGGGCGGAUCUUGUCGUUGUAGGAUGACACAAUGGGUGCGCAUUUGAGAGGUACUGCGUCUAGUUCUGCCUGAACCAUGGCGAGGGAGCCUUCACCGUUUAAAUCUGUGCAACUCGAUUCCAUUUGCCUUGGUCCUUCCGUUUCUGAAUUAUAGCAAGUGAAAAUAAUGGUGAAAAUUCUAGAGAGAAACCGAGAUAAUUUCAAGCUUAAUUAGCUAAAGAAUUGAGGUUCUCUGGCAGUUUACCCUCCAGUUUAUAACAUUUUUUUACUAAGAAUGUUUUCAGGUAAGGGAAAACACCACUUUCGUGAUCCAGUAGGAAACGGAGCCUUUCUUUCAACCGCUGCAUUUCCACAAACUCAAGAGACUCUAAUACCCGAAAAGGCAAGUUACGCUCUCCUUAAAACUCAGCACCAAUUCGAAGAUGGAGUAAAAUGUUCUGUAUUGAGUUUGUGACUUAGUGGAGUAAAAUGUCCUAUUUAUAGUGAUGCAGUACAAGACUCUCAUGCAUGUAUUGGAAUCUACCAAGAGUUGGAACCAUCAAAUAUAUUUAAUGGAGUUUUAGAGCAACACAACUAAUUAAGUAGUCAUUUAAGACCAUUUUAAAUAUUUUGGGUAGAGCAAAAGUCCAAUUCGGACUAGAGUUUCAUUGUGUUGUAUUCCUUAUAAAUAUAUGUACUAAUUGUAUUCCUUAAAUGACUACUUAAUUAGUUGUGUUGCUCUAAAACUCCAUUAAAUAUAUUUGAUGGUUCCAACUCUUGGUAGAUUCCAAUACAUGCAUGAGAGUCUUGAUUACUACAUCAUUUAGCUACUGCUAUGUGUCAUUCUUAGCCUUCAAGCAGCUUAACUGACUCUCAGUCAACAAUAACAACACAUCCAACAGCUUAAGGAUUGCUGUUUUUAGUGGAGAAAUGUGGAAGAGAAAGAGCCUUUGAAGAUUCCUUUAUGAGUUUGCACAUUGUGGGAGAUUUUGUUUCACUUUUACCAUUGUCAGGCCAUAAUCAUGGAUGUUGACAUGGUUGGACAGAUGUCGAAUGAUGGUGUCAUUGGGCCCCCACCAUCAAAGAAAAAGCAGUCCCCAUGGGGCAUCUAAGCGGAAAGAGAAUCCAUUAUAGUAUAAAGAUUUAGCAUUCACACUCAUAGCUUCGACAUCAAUCAUUUUCUUCCUUGCCGAUGUUCUUUAUAUUUUGCUUUCUUUAUUUCUUGAUAAGUUGUUUCUGGAUGAUAUUUUUUUAGAAUCUCUUGGAUGUCGUAUGCGUGCUACGUCACUCGUUUGUAUCAAAACACGCAUAAACAUUAUUUCUUUCAAUCGAGAUUUAAAAUUAAAAGUCUACAUACACUUUUUUGUUGUAAUUUGACUGAUGGACCAUAAUGUUGGAUUGUGAACUACCUUAGUACAUAUGUGUAGAAGUGUGGCAGGUGACGUAAGCAUAAAUAAUCAUUUUAACAUGCAUGUUAGCAAAAUGUUAAAUUGUGUUUAAUCAUAUUAAAUUAAUUUAUGUAUUGGUUUUGUUCAGGUAUAAUAAAAUUAAAAACACAUGUAUAAACUUAGUGUAAGUUUUAGGAUUCUCACCUUUAGAUUUCAUAGGUGGACAAAUUCAAUGUUGUUAAAGAUCCCAAGUGUUAGCCCUCAACUAGUGUCUACACGAAUAAAUAUCUGGCUAGUGAAGCAAAAAAACGACAAUUUGCUAGAACUUUAUCCAUCAGGUAGGUGUUGCCAUAAAGGGAUUUGGUAUGGUGUUUUGUUUUUCAAUUCUCUAAAUUGGAAAACCUAUUUCUUUUCUCUCUAAUAUCUAUUUGCGAUUAUUGAAUUCUCACACUAUGUUACAUAGACCCCUUAGGCUUAUAAAAAGAACAAUCUGUAAUUAAGCCAAUUGUGUGUUGCACGCCCUAGGGAAAUUUUUUAGAAACUUUUGGGUUCACUAGUCUGUAUCACGUCACUCGCUUGUCUCAAGAAGAGAUCCUUUCACAUCACCAGUUUACCACACUAAAAUUUUGAAUUUAUUAGAUGGAUAAUACAAUUUGUUUAAUAAAUGACCAACUUUACAAAUAUUUUUGUGAAGUGAUUUCACACAUAUUUUUUAGCUUUUACACACCCAUGUUUAAUUUUAGAUGUUGAUUCCGUUUGAUUUAUUUAAUCUGGUGGCCAUAAAUAAAGAGAGGUACGUGGAAAACUAAAAAUGGUGUGUGAAAAUCCUUGACACUACUAAGCAUGAAUUUUAGUAAGAUGAAAAAAGACCUUCGCUUGAUACCCGUGGGAGGACGUGACAUGACUUCCUUUAUUGAAGGAUGAGGAAUGCUAAUGUGACUUUCAAAAGUAGGACUUUCUAAUGACUCUCUGCCACCUCAUAGCUAGUUUAAUGUCAAUUCAUUCACGUGCCAACAUUAUAACACAAAUGCUAGGAAGGCUACAUUUAUAGACAAAAUUUGUAUACUAAAUGACAUGAAAGUUGAUGAUUAUAUUAUUAUUUAAGCGUUGAUAAACGUGCUCAUUUUCUAUUGGUAACAAGUCAUUUAGUUUUCAAAUUUUGUCUACAAAUUUAGUCUCCAUAGCAUUACCUGCAUUAUAAAGUAUUGUGCCAAAUAUAUGAGCUGACAAAGAGUCCAUAGAGAGUCUCAAUUUUGAGUCUCAUUAGCAUUUAUCUUCAAGAAUUUAUCCACAUUCUCCUCACGUAAUAAUUUCACCAAAAAUGUUUUCUAAAUGCUCACUUAUCAAGAUUAAACCCCCGUUUGGUAUUUUAUUUUUUGGGUAAAAGACUGUUUACUACCCUCAUGUUUCGUGGUUUUCAACAUUUAGUACAUCAUGUUUUUUUCGUCUCAGAGUCAUACCUAAAGUGUAAAUUUUGGGACAGUCUCAUACAUCCGUUAGUCAAACUGUUAAGUUUUUCGUUAACUGUGACGUGGCGCACUGACUGGGCGCCACGUGUCAUCCACGUUUUUUUUUUUUCUUUUUCUUUUUUCUUUCUUUUCUUUUCUUCUUCUUCCUUCUUCUUCUUCUUCCUCCGACUGCAACUUUUUUUUUUUUUUUUGCUUCUUCCUUUUCCUUCUUCCUUCCUUCCUCCUUCCUUUCCCUUUCUUCCCCUUCUUCCUUCUUCUUCCUUCUUCUUCCUCCGAAAUCUGGGGAAUGUUUUUUUUUUUCUUUCUUCUUCUUCCUCCUUCCUUCCCCUUCUUCCUUCUUCUUCUUUCUCCUUCUUCUUCUUCUUCUUCUUCCUCCGAAAUCUGGGGAAGUUUGUUUUUUUUUUUCUUUCUUUCUUCUUCUUCCUCCUUCUUCUUCUUCUUCUUCUUCCUCAAAAAAAAAAAAAAAAAAACACUUUUAUCUUUUCUUCCUCUUCUUCUUCUUCUUCUUCUUCUUUCUCUUUCCUCCUUCCUUCUUCUCCUUCUUCUUCUUCUUCUUCUUCUUCCUCCGAAUCUGCCCAGAUUCAAUUUUUUUUUUCUUCCUCCUUCUUCUCCUUCUUCUUCUUCUUCCUCCGAAUUUGGGGGAAGAUGAAAGUGUUUUUUUUUUUUUGAGGAAGAAGAAGAAGAAGAAGAAGAAAGAAAGAAAAAAAAAAAAAACAUUCCCCAGAUUUCGGAGGAAGAAGAAGGAAGAAGAAGGAAGAAGGGGAAGAAAGGGAAAGGAAGGAGGAAGGAAGGAAGAAGCAAAAGGAAGAAGCAAAAAAAAAAAAAAAAAAACAAAAACAGAAAGUUGCAGUCGGAGGAAGAAGAAGAAGAAGGAAGAAGAAGAAAAGAAAAGAAAAAAAAAAGAAAAAAAAAAACGUGGAUGACACGUGGCGCCCAAUCAGUGCGCCACGUCACAGUUAACGAAAAACUUAACAGUUUGACUAACGGAUGUAUGAGACUGUCCCAAAAUUUACACUUUAGGUAUGACUCUGAGACGAAAAAAACUUGAUGUACUAAAUGUUGAAAACCACGAAACAUUAGAGUAGUAAACAGUCUUUUACCCUUAUUUUUUUCAACAAAAGUUGCUUCACUUUAAAGUUAAGCAGUAAGAAUGUGUUUGGUAAAAAUAAAUUAUUUUGCUUAUAUUAAAAGUAAUGCAUGUCCUCCAGACAGCAACUUUUAAAAGCAGCAUGUAGGUAAAGCUGUUUUUAAUAAAAAGCAGAAUUGAGCUUUCAAUGAAUAUUUUUAAUUCCUGUAAUAUGCUCAAUAAUUUUAGAAAAUAACAUUAUUUAUUCUUGUAGGCACAUUUUAUCAUUGGAGAACAAAGUGACCACCACUAUAAACCCUAACCUCUUACACUACCAUUGCCAUGAUCACCACCAUUGUUGCCACCACCACCACACUACAAUUGCGCCACCACCACUACAACCAUACACACCACCGCUACCUUUGCCAUCAUUACCACCACACCGCCGCCGCCGCCGCCACCACCACCAUAAACACAACUGCCACCAUCAAUGUUGUUGCCACCCCUACGACCAAUGUUGCCUCUGCAGCCCAACCACCACCACCAUCCCAACCCUUACCCUUAUCACUGUUGUCGUCGUCACCACCAACAUUGUUACGUCUAUUUUUGUCAUUAUAUACAAUUAUAAAUUAUCAAACGCUUUUACGCCGUUUUUCAUACUCAACACUUUUAAAAAUACAAUUCAUCUAACACUCAACUGCUUUAUUUUGUAGCAGAUUAUUCUUAAAGCACAUCAGAAGCACUUUUUUUUAAAGCACAUCAAUCUCAAAAUGGCCGUAAGAUUAUGAGUUUUUCAAUUGAGAUAAAUAUAUAAUUUAUUUGACCAAAACGAUUUUAAAUUAUUUGUAAUAAGAUCACGCGAAAGAAGAACAUAAACGUUACACAUGAAAUUAAACCAAAGCAAAUGAUUUUCUUGGGUUUUAACACCCAUAUAUUUUUUGUUGGUUUAUCAUUUUCACCGAGCUCCACCUCAUUUAUACUUAAAGAAAUGUAUUAUGUUCCGAUCCAGAAACCAAGCUCCACCUCAUCAAUACUUGGAUAAUUUGAUGCAUUACUUUUGUUUCCUUUCUCAAUUUGGAGGCCCAAACAAGAAACAAAGCUACACUAGACAAAGACAACUGCUGUAUAGUGGGUGUUUUAGAAACUUAAAGGAAAGAAACUCAAAAGCUUCAAUUUGUUUGUCGUGCUCCUUUAACUUCCUCUUUUACUGUUAUACAAGCGAAAACAAGAGAGAUUUAAUGAGUAAAGGGAUACUUUACGCCUUGAUAUACAAGUUUAUUGUCAUGAUCUAGCAAGGUUUCUUCUAAGGAUCUUGGCUUUCUUUGUCUAUAAAGAAGUUGGGUUUUUGGUUGUUUAAUUAAUUUCUACUAGAAUUGCAAGAUAAAAAGGGAUACAAACACUACAAGAAAGCCGGGCUUAUGUGACGACAGAUAUUCGUCAUAGAAAAUAAAAAUGCGUCACAUUUGAUAAUAUGUGACGCCUUUACAGCGUCACUGCGAACGUCACCUAUGAUGCGUCACGGAAAGUAUAAGUGACUAAUUUUAAAAGCGCCACAUAUUUGUAGUAUAUGUGACACUGUUUUCGUCAAUUAAUAGGAGAUUGUGACGGAUUAGGCGUCACAAAAGAAUAAAUUAUGUGACCUAUAUAAUUCGUAAUGUAUGAAAUAGAUAAGUGACACUGAAGGCGUCACAUUUUUCUUCCAUUUGUGGCAUAGCUUGGGUCACUUAUGUCAAAAUAAAAUAUCUAUUUUGAAAAUAUAUGUGACAAACCAAUACAAUUCCCUAUUUAUAAUAUGAUGUUACAAUUCCUUGUUUAUAAAAAAGAAUCAAUUAUGUGACCUAUAUAAUUCGUCACUUAUGAAAUAGAUAACUAACACUGAAAGCGUCACAUUUUUCUUCCAUUUAUGGCACAGCCUGGAUCACUUAUGUCAAAAUAAAAUAUCUAUUUUGGAAAUAUAUGUGACAAACCAAUACAUAUUCCCUGUUUAUAAUCUGAUAUUACAAUUCAUUGUUUAUAAAAAAGAAUAAAUUACAUGACCUAUAUAAUUUGUCACUUAUGAAAUAGAUAAGUGACGCUGAAAGUGUCACAUUUUUCUUCCAUUUGUGGCGUAGCCUGGGUCAUUUAUGUCAAAAUAAAAUACCUAUUUUGGAAAUAUAUGUGAUAGACCAAUACAUAUUCCCUGUUUAUAAAGGAUCAAGGGACAAACAUUUUGACAAACAUAUAUAUAUAUAUAUAUAUAAUAUAUAUAUGUUUUUUUUUUUAAGAUGAUAACAUUUCCUGAAUAAAACUGAGAAGAUAUAUAAACCGGCAAGCAAGUUUAUUUAUCUUAAGAAAGUAACAGUAUUUCCAUAUUCACUUUCAGGUUAUUACAACUUUGACGUCGAAAAAAUAAGAACAUUUAGGGAAGAUGUUUUUCUCAUAAGUUAGGGUUUCUUCAAUGUUUGUCGGUUUCUUUACCUAAGUAAGUUUUUAUCUGUCAAAUUAGUUACGAAGGCUUACUGUCAAAUUGAAUGAAAGGUAAUGAAAGCAGAAAAUAGAAAACAAAAUAUCGGAGUUGACUAUUGGUAGGAUGAAUUUGAGUUAAAUUUCUUUGAAAACUUUAAAAUUGACAAGGAUUACCAAAACUAUACAAUUACCACAUAACAAGAACACAAAGGAAACUACGAGCUUGUUUGGUAUCCUAUUUGAAAAUUAUUGUCAUUUCUCAAAACAUUUCUUGAAAACAAUUUUCUUUAAGACUAAAAAACUUGACUGGUUUGCGAUUUACAAUUUUUAAAUCUUACAACUAAAAUUAGGCAAAGAGAUCUAAAAAGAGGGGAUCGUAGGAGAGGGAGAAAGAGGAGAGAAGAGGAAAGAAAGCAAGAGAUGAUUGAAGAAAAGAGAAAGAAGAGAGAGAAUCGAACAAAAGAGAGAGGAAGAGGAGUGAGAGAAAGAACAUAGAGAAUGAAAAGAGCAGAUUGAAAGAGAGACGAAACAUGUAAAAAAAUAAAAAUAAAGAGGAGAGAGAGAGAGAAGAAAAGAGAGAGAUUUGGAGUGAGAGGGGAGAAGGGAGAGAAGAAAAAAAAGUGUGAGUUUAAGUUUAAAAACUCUAAAAACUCACUUUUUAUGUUUUUAGAUAAUAGACUAUAUUUUUGAGUUAGUCUUGAGUUUAGUUUUUUAAGUAGUCUUACCAAAGACUAAAACUUGAAAAUUGUUUUUGAGUUUAAAAAAUUGGAUUCAAGGAAAGUAUCAAACAGACGCUAAAAAACUUGAAACAAAAGUUUACAAACAAACAACCAACGACAUAAGGAAAACAGACUGCAUACUUUUAUUUACACCAUUUUGUAGUACCCUCAAAACUAAUUGGCAAGUUAUUUAAUUACCAUAAGUGAUAAUGCUGUCCAUAAUCUUGGCCACUACCUCCUUAGAAUCCCUAAGCUUUUUUAUGCUUUUGUUAAGCUUCUCACGCUUUACUGCCAUUGCCGGCGACUCCUCCAACAUCCUCUCGAUUCCCCCAUCGUAAUGUCCCAUCAACUCAUUCAUAAUCUCAGCUUCCAUCUCUUUGUUCACAAGGUUAAAAACAGACAGCUGCAAGUGCAAUGCCAUGAAGUCCACAAACCUCCUCAAAACAACCUUCCAAUAGGCAGUCAUUCUCAUUUUAAGGUCAUAAGCUUGAGCUAAAACAUGCGGUUACUUCCUCAGAACACCGACUUCAACUUCCCCGAUGCCUUCUAUAGCUAUGAUAGAAGGUUUAUUCUCGUCAGUUAAGACUCCAUGAAUGAAAACAUUUUGACUAGCCAUCAACUUGUUCCAUUCGGAAACAUAAUCAGCAUUGCAUGUAUAAUCUGUCAGCUUUUCCAUCUCUACAAGCUCCAGCAUCCACUUUGACACGCCCUGAUCCGGAUGUCCUGGAGACAUCGGGAUAGUCACGUGCUGGCCGACACCCGAGGGGUGACGAAAGCCAUUUAAAAGGCAUAAGAACGAGAAAUAUGAAUUUAAUAUAACAUUUAAUAGGCAUUUAAGGAACGUGUUCAGAGCAUAUAACUAAUUAGAAUACUAGGAAAAAAAUGAUAUAAAAAUUGAAUAAACAAAAGGAGUGGGUCCUACACCGAGAGGACUCGAAGAUGCCAAUGUAGAAGUGUCUUGACGCCGGGAUUGUAUGCCUCGAUUCUAAGCCCUGAAGGGGGCGCAAAACAAAGGUGAGUGGACCAGUUUGAUAUACAUAUAAUAAAACAGUUAUCAACAUACUAACCCCCUGAUUUUUAUGAAAACACAUAUAUGUAUCAUGAUAAACAUAAGUUUUCCGAAACCUAGAAUGUCGUGCAAUAUCUCAAAUCAUAACUCGCAAAACAUAAUAAACACUAGUGUCAAAUGUCCACAUAUAUCCAUCCAGGCCCUAUGUCAUCUCCCCAUCCCUGAGCAUACAGUCAAAGAAAAUAUGACUUCAGGCCCUAUGCUAGCUCCACUGUCCCUGUUCUAAAUAGUCAGAGGGAAAUACACUCCAGGCCCUAUGCCAACUCCACCGUCGCCCGGGAUGGACCGAAAUCUAUCCCUACAUCCCGUAGCGGAAAUUGGGACAGCUAGGUAAUACAGAAUCAUCGCACAUAUAUUUAUUCAAAAGUAACAUCAUAUAUCAUUCUUAUAAACUCAUGCUUUUUAUGCGUGCAAUUCUACUAAUAAAGCAUGUAUUUUAGAAGGGGUCCACUCACAGUACUUCACCGUCGAAAGCCGCGCUGCUAACAAAGAUAGAAACGCCACAAUAAUUGCCCCUAAGCACAUAAACGUUCCAAUUAAUAAAUCUUUAUUAAAACAAUUGAAUUUGAGAAAACGGACGUCGAAAACGGAUUCAAGACGUUGAAUUACCUUAAGAAGGGUCCUGGAUAAAUUUCGUAAACGUCAAUAGAAUAUUCCACAUCAAGAGUUUGGGCCGGCUAGGGUUUAAGGGUUUAGUGCUUAAGGCCCUAGGUUAAAAAGGUUUGGGUUAGACUUUUAAAAAGGUUAGGCUUAGGUUAAAUAGGUUUAGGGCUUAGGAAGUUGGGUUGGGUCCUUAAGGGUUUUGGGUUUCUAGGUUAAAGGGUUAGGAAAUUGGGUUGAUAAAAAGGGCCUAGGGUAAAUAAUUGGGUUUGGGCUUAAAAGGGUCACGGAUUGGGCUGGAGACCCGUGGGUUUUGGGCUGGUUUCAAAGGACUUGGGUCGAGUUGAUUCGUUUUCAGGCCAAUGAAAUGGUCGAUUUCUGGGUAUCACUUCGAACGCCCAUAACUUCUUCGUUACUCAUCCAAAAUAAGUAAUCCAAACAUGAAAGUUGUAGUACUCGACGAGAUGAAGAGAUUGAUACCCUGCACUCCGCCAAACUCUCCGUGGUUUGGCCGGAAAACACCUCGAAAGGGGCGGUGCUCGUCGGAAAACUGGGUUUUUUGGCCGAAUGUUUGGGUAAUUUUCAAAGCUUUGUAACUUCUUCGUUUCUUAACCACAUUGAGUGAUUCAAAAUCUAAAAUGUAGUUAGGAAUGUGGAGAAGAGGUUCAUACCAAGUGAGGACCGAGUGGUUACCGGAGUUCACCGAAAAACGACCUGAAAAAUCAUAGCAAAAGACAGCAUAGUGAAAGAGGCUUGAGUUGUAGUGCUAGUUGCUGGAGUCGAAGAAGGGGUUGUGGUAGUGAGAGUAGAAAGAAACGGAGCGGAGGGAGUUGGGAAAGAUUGUGAGGUCGGUUUUGAGGUGGCAUUGGAGAAACUAGUGGAGAAACCAAAAGAGGAUUGCAAAGCGGAGGAAGCCAGAGUUCCGAAGGAAGAGAAUCUGGAAACGGUUAUUGAUGGGGGAGCAGCGGUGGUGGGAGCAGAGGUUGUGGGUUUCAAAAGAGAGGAGGAUGUUGGUAAUGUGAAAGCUGAAAAGGAAGUGGAGAAGCUUUGGAACCAUUGGGUGGUUAGAGCUAUAGAGGAUGACGGUUGGGACGAGGAAGUUGUGCCAGACAGCGGCGAGGGUACGCUGGGUGCAUAGGACGUUGUGCCAAACAAGUGCGAAGCGGAAGUUGAGGGGUUCCAAACAGGGGUGUGGGUGCGCUGGGUGCAAAUGAGGUUGCUCUGAAUGGGGAUGAAGUGGCGAAAGAAGGAGCGCCGAAUAGAAGGGACCAUUGGGUGGUUUGACCUAUAGAGGAUGAAGGUUGGGACGAGGAACUUGUACCAAACAGCGGCGAGGGAGCGCUGGGUGCAUAGGACGUUGUGCUAGACAACUGCGAAGCCAAAGUGGAGGAGGUUCCAAACAGGGGUGUGGGUGCGCUGAGUGCAAAUGAGGUUGCUUCGAAUGGGGAUGAAGUGGCGGAAGAAUGAGCUCUGAAUAGAGGGGACCAUUGGGUGGUUGGAGCUACAAAGGAUGAAGGUUGGGACGAGGAAGUUGUGCCAGACAGCGGCGAGGGUGCGCUGGGUGCAUAGGACGUUGUGCCAAACAACUGCGAAGCAGAAGUGGAGGGGGUUCCAAACAGGGGUGUGGGUGCGCUGGGUGCAAAUGAGGUUGCUCUGAAUGGGGAUGAAGUGGCGGAAGAAUGAGCUCCGAAUAGAAGGGACCAUUGGGUGGUUGGAGCUACAGAGGAUGAAGGUUGGGAUGAGGAACAUGUGCCAAACAACGGUGAGGGAGCGCUGGGUGCAAAUGAGGUUGCUCCGAAUGAGGAUGAAGUGGCAGAAGAAGAAGCUUCGAAUAGAGGGGAGACGGAUGCGGUGAAGGUGGUGGCAGGUGCGGAGGAUAUGAAUGGGGAGGUGCAAGAGCCGGAACAGAAUAAGGAAGGAGGGUUGGAGAAAAAGAAAUGGAAGUGGAUUGGGCGGAAGAGGAAGAAAAGGAAAAGCCAGUGGUGGACGUGGUGGCAGGUGUGGAGGAUAUGAAUGAGGAUGUGGAAGAGCCGGAAAAGAAGAAGAAAUGAGGGUUGGAGAAAGAGAAAGGGGAAGUGGAUUGAGCGGAAGAGGAAGAGAAGGAGAAGCCGGUAGUAGACGUGGUGGCAGGUAUGGAGGAUAUGAAUGGGGAGGUGGAAGAGCCGGAACAAAAGAAGGAAGUAGGGUUGGAGAAAGAGAAAGGGGGGUGGAAAAGGAAGAGAAGGAGAAGCCGGUGGUGGACGUGGUGGCAGGUGCGGAAGAUAUGAAUGGGGAAGUGGAAGAGCCGACUGAGAAGGAAGGAGGGUUGGAGAAAGAGAAAUGGGAAGUGGAUUGGGCGGAAGAGGAAAAUGCCGAGGAUUCAAAUAAAAAGCUCGACAUUGUUUUCUCUCUUCUGCUGCUGCUGCUGCUCUAUGUUAUUGAGAGGUUUUUCAAAUUUUGGGGUUUUUGGUUAACACAUUUCAAAGCCUUCUCUUUUCAUUUUCUGGUUGUCAAUGGCUUCAUCCGCCUAAGUUUUCACAUUCUGGAGAUUUUGUUUCACUUUUACCAUUGUAAGACUAUAGAUCAUAGAUGCUGACAUGGUUGGACAGAUGUCGAAUAAUGGUGUCGUUGCGGCCCCCACCGUCAAAGAAAAAGCAGUCCCCAUGGGCAUUCAAGCUGAAAGAGAACUCAUAAUUGUAUAAAGGUUUUGCAUCACAUUCAUAACUCGAUCCGAAAACUUCACAUCUCAGAUUUUCGAUCUGUAACUUCCAAAGAUUUACAUUAUGCUUCUAAAAUAAUAUACUAAAAUAUUACCAUGAUUCGACAGUCGGAUCUUCGCCAAUCAAAAUUCAAGUGGCAGUCAACAUUUUAUUUUGCGAACUUACUAAUCCAAUUCAGGAAGAUUCAUACGUCAAAUUCCCAAUCCGUAAGUUUCUAUGGUCCUCAAAUAUUACGUACUAUAAUGUAUUAAAGUUUUGUGCCAAUCCAACCAUCAGAUCAUCGAUUGCUAUAAUGUUAAAGAGGCAUACCUUAGAGAAAUUAUACCCAAACGAUGGAAUUUCAUUAAUCGGAUGUCAAAUAUGGAAUCAAGGCAUCCAAAUUAGCCUAGUAAGGUCAGGUGGGGUAUUAGCCUAGCGCUGCCGCACACGGCAACUGACCACCCCAACUCGUCGGAAAAUUCAACUAAUUUCAAAAAUUCUCAAAUUUUACCAGAAUGAAGAUCUCAAUUAGUAGAGCAAGUUUUAUACCUAUGGCCACACCUUAAAUCGCCACAAACCUACCGGAACCCUAGAAAUGGGUGGGUUUCAAUUCACCCUCUCCGAUGCUUUGACGUGCCAACCAAAGCUUGGGACUUGUUCCUGGGUUCAAGAGGUGCUGAAAUAUGGUAGUGGUUGACGAAAGAGCUCGCAGAAAUAGCGGAUUCCACUGUCGUGGCUUCGGAACACCCACCAUAGGGUUUGAAUGGAAAAGGAAGAGAUGAGGCCGAAGUGAUGAAUGGUGGGGGUGGAUGGUCACGAUUCACCAGAAAAAUGGCUGAAAUCACGACGGAAAAGGUGCAAGAAGUCUGGUCAUGAACCCGGUAAAAAAGGAUAUGGUGCUCCUCCACUCAAUAGCAAUUAAAUUGCUACCUCGAAAUAUUGAUCAUUUAAAUACUUGAUUGCAAUACUUAUCUGUCAAUCAUGUAUUAUGCUUAAAAUCUCUAUAUAACAUCUCAAAUGGUGCCAAACCAAAAAUUGAAAUAGUAAUCGUAGUUACAUGCAACCUUAACAAAGAUGAGUGUCUAUUACAAUCAUGCUAAAACUAUAGAACGGAUAAAUGCAACAUGUUCACAAAUGUCUGGAUAGUUCAUUCGAACUAGUAGUUAAUCUGAGGGUGAAAUGUGGUAAUACAUAAUAACUUUGUAACCAUGGUUUUCAAGAAGACUCCCAAAACUUGGAAGUGAUACACGCAUCAUGAUGAGGUACAACAAUGACAUGCACAUUAGGCAUCCAAACAUUAUAAUUCAUAUAUGUCACAACAAGUAGAUUCAUUAUGAAAAUUUCUCUCGAAUUUAGUGAAACACUGUGUCGAGAAGGCUAAAAGAACAAUCAAGAAUUUGAGAAUUAAAAUAAGUCCAUCAAUCUAGAAUACAAAGUAACUAGAUUAAUGCAUAACAUCUCACUACAAUGGUAGCUUCUAGAAUAUUCAAUCACCAACGGUAACGAUUCGCUUAGCAGAGUUUGUUGAGUGAUUGAGAAAUUAAUGGUCACAACUGCAAUUCCAAUGUCAAUGGUUCUUCUAGACAGUUUAUCAACUUCAAAAUAAUGCGAAGUGCAAUAGGGUAGGUAGUACCCAAGGUUGACUGGAAUGCCUUCUAACACAAAAGGUGAAUAUGAAAUCACAAUCAAAGUAGAUGUUGAUCAAAAUGUCAGAAAAUCUGAAAAAUUCAAGAAUGAGUAAUUUUCUCAAGUGAUCAAAAUGUAUUCCCUAUGGACCAAUGGAAAGUAAGCUAACUUGUCAAGUCGGCGAUAAUCACCGAAACAUCAUUGUAAUAUCCACAUAUACAAGAUACCUCAUACCAGGAGCUUAUGGUGAUAUUUCUCAUCUCCAUUUGGAUAUAGAAAGUGAAUAUAACCACUCGAACGAUUUCUUGAUAAUUUGUAAGUAACGUCAACCCAAUGCUCAUGAAUUCCAACUAAAAUGAAAUAGGACAGACUAAAAGCAUUUCGGGAGUAGAUAAUGUCUUUUGAUGUGGCAAACAGUAAUUACGUUUCCACAACGAGGAUGAUACACGAUUGUGUAAUUGUAGAUGUUAAUUUGGUUCCUCUAUCACCAUUGUCAGAAAUCUAUUUCUUUCCAAAUGGAUAUGUACUUGCGAGGUCUAAGAUUGAUAGAGAUUUUGGACACGUUUCUCUAUAGAGAAGUGUCAUUCAGUUUUUAAGUAAGAUGGUAACUAUUGACUCUAAGUUAUGAAUAAGAUGGUUCAUUCCAAACGGUUCUACACGUUGGGAAAUAUAAGCGAUUCUCCGUCAUGCUGCCUCUGUACAGCCAAAACAUCCAAAGAACACAUCAUCAUGGAUUUUCAAAAUAAUUAUUAUCAUCGAAAGGUGUAAAACGAAGGUAAGAUGAGACAACAAUUUAGUUGUCAGAAACUUUAUUCAUAAUCAACAUCAUAACUAAAUUAACUUUCCUCGAUCGUAAAUGAGGAAAAAACACUACAGCCGAAGGAUCGCUAACAAAUUGUCGAUAAAAUCGACAUGACCAAAGAUAUCUCGAACGUCACUACACUUCGUGUGAAUUUCAACUUUCUUCCACUAAACCCUUUUUGGAAAAGAAAAGAUUAUCGUUUACGAAGAUCACGUCUCCCAAGAAAAGUACCAAUUUAAUCAAAGUUAAUAGUUGAGCACUUUGGUAUAAAGCUGACUAUUGAUAUUUAGAGAAUUUGGUCUCACUGUCAAGGUAGAUGAAAAAGUCAUCGAUAAGACCACUAUGAAUACGUUAGGCUAUGGGAGAAAACUCAGGUUACAAAGGUUGGUCAGCUCGACCAUCAACUCGAAAUAGGGGCUAACGGUUUUUGGUCGUCACGUGAUUGAGUCGCUAAAGUCUAGGUACAACCCUAAGGUUCAACCUUUCGCCUUUACGAAUAGGUUUGAGAUUCUCUAGAUAAAGUGUUUGGUUAGAUACAGGGUCGGGCGUGUCAGUUUGGUAUUAGAGCGUGGUUUGUUCAUAGCAUACUUAGGAUCUUCUAUUAUUGUAGUAGUGUGUCGAUCAUGACGUCAUUUGGAUGUCACGACUUCCUGAUUUGUUGUCUUUCGGCACAGUUAUGCAACCCUCAUUCUGCAUGAAUAGUCACAUCUUAUGGAAGAAAAAGAAAAUUCGUGUUGGGAUUUUGCCUCAGUGUUGACGAAAUGGAUUGUUGAACAACUUUCAACAUCGAACUGAUACUCUAUAGCAUGCGUUCCCUAAGAAUUGCGAGUAGAGUUGGUGUUUACAUUGAAGUGACUAUCUAAGCCGAAGAAACUAUCAUAGACACUUAAGAGCAAGUCUUGUAGAAUGACUGUAACCUCCUAGUUGUUUUAACCAUGUUUUCCACUUAGGUAACCAAAACCUCUUCGUCUAGCCACAUUUUCGAUCACUUCCACAAGUGGACAAUAGAAUCGAAGUACAAGUUAACUUCUCAUUAUUAGAGUGAAGUAGCGUAUCGAGAAAGCUACAAAGACUUAUUAGCACGUGUCUACCCUGGUGUUCGGUAGAUAUCAGGGUCGGGCGUGUCAGCGAGUAUCUUUGACAUAAUUCAAAGACGUAGUAACUAAAGUAUGCUUAAUAGACCUCCAAGAAAUUGUGGUUCCACCAACAAUACCCAUUUAGGAUCUUGCCAUGUACGGAUCGAAUAAGUACAUAGCGUCAACAUAACCAACAAAAGCAACUCGAAAACUAGGGGGAGGGGGGACGGUUGCACUCAAAGUUGAGUAAGGAUAGGACAAACACAAGUCCACAACACUAUUAAGAUAACAUAGAGUUUUUUUAACACAUUUCAAUGUCUGCAUGUUGGCACAUGAUUGUGUUAUGCUAAGAGAUUUAUAAUGCAGGAGAUGUUAGGUCUUGUACACUGAGAUAAGUACAACAAAGCACCAAUUGCACUUAAGUAUGGAACCUCAGGUUCUAAAACUUCUUCAUCAUCUAUCUUUGGACGGUAUAGGUCUUAUUGUGCAUCAAGCGUACAGAUGACAAUGAGAGUACUCAAAGUCCACGCUUUAUCAUUAAAGCAUUGUAACAUCGUCUUGGUGUAGUUUGACUAGUUGACCAUGACUAAUGGACCAUAAUGUUGGAUUGUGAACUACCUUAGUAUAUAUGUGCAGAAGUGUGGAGGUUGGCAUAAACAUAAAUAAUCAUUUUAACAUGCAUGUUUGCGAAAUGCUGGAUUCCAUUUAAUCAUAUUAAAUUAAUUUAUGUAUUGGUUAUGUUCAUGUAUAAUAAAAUUAAGAACACAUGUAUAAACUUAGAGUACGUUUUAGAAUUCUAACCUUUAGAUUUCAUAGGUGGACGAAUUCAAUGUUGUUGAGGCUACUAAGUGUUAGCCGUCUACUAGUAUCUACACAAAUAAAUCUUCGGCUAGUGAAGCAAGAAGACAACGAUCUGCUAGAACUUUAUCUAUUAGGUAGGUGCUGCGGCAGAGGUACAAUGCAUUGUUAUGAAGUUGGUCUAUAUUGUCACGCCUCGCCCCGAAAUAUAAAUAUAUUAAAUCUUCGGCUAGCGAAGCAAGAAGACGACGAUCUGCUAGAACUUUAUCUAUCAGGUAGGUGCUGCGGCAGAGUGACAAUGCAUUGUUAUGAAGUUGGUCUAUAUUGUCACGCCCCGCCCCAAAAUAUAAAUAUAUUUCGGGAAUUAAUUAUGGUAGGCCCAACUUAAAAACGUAGUUAAUUUAUUUCCUUUAACCACAUCCCUCUAAGUCAAUAUUACUUACUAUUACAAGCUAUCCAUAUUUUCUUAAAAUGUCAAACAUAUCUUUCAUUUAACAAUUGAAUUCACUAAUAUUAGUUGUCAUUCUCCAAAUAAUUCCCUUCGUCCCACGUAGAAUCUAUAACCAUUAUUCGUUUACCAAGAUAUACAAUUUACUUUCCAAUUUAGAACCAUUUCCUUCUCUUAGAUCAAAUUCCAUCUAAACACUAAUUCUCGAUUAUUUAGUCUCACUUAUUUAUGGCUGCAUCUAACGUCUUGUUAGACUGCCUACGUACCCUAAACAAAGAUCAAGCCAUUCGUAGUUCACAAAUUCAAAUUCAAUUAAACUUUGAUAUUUCUACACAUAAUUAACAAUCACCAACUAGCUUCAAAUAAGUGUAUCACAUUAAAUACUUAUUUAACUUGAAUCCAAAACAUCAAAUUUAGCUUAAAAUACGGCAUCGGUUCCCUAGCCAUGCGUCGUCGCCGUCCUGACUUGCCGAAAAAUUCAACUAUUUCUAAAAAUUCUCAAAAAUUACAAAAAUGAAGAUCUCAAAGAGUAGAGCAAACUUUAUACCUAUGGCCAAGCCCAAUUUGGCCGGGAAACACCUCAAAUUGGCCACGAACUGCCGAAAACUCUUGUUUUGGGUGUUCUUGAUUUGUCUCCAAAACAACUUCGACGCCUCAACCAAUGCAUGGGCUUUGUUCUAGGCCUCAAGAAGAGUAUGAGAGUAGUGGUAAUUGAAUGAAAUCACUUCAAAAUUUGGUGAAUUUUGACACCUACACCGUCGCACCCACCGGUGCGUUUUACCCCAUUUCAAGGUCAAAUUUCAUGAUUUUUGGGGGGUAACAGGGUUAGGGAAGGUCAUUGAGGGUUUUCCAAGUGGUAGUUUAAAUUGAUUUGCUGGAAAAUGGGCUAAAACUCACCAAAAAUAGCAAGGAAAACCGACCGAAUCGAGUCGGGUCCUUUCAGGUCAGGGAUCCCCCGUACCCCUUUUCUCUCAUUUUCCCCCCUUUCUCCUUUCUCCCAUUGGUCAACCUCCCCCUAUUCCUUCCUUCCUUUUCUCCUUUCUAUUCUUUUCUUUCAAUCUCAACCGUCCAUUUCUUUAUUUAUUUUCAUCUCAGCCACACACGUGGCACAACCAUUGGAUCAAAUUUUCUGGAGCCUUCUACCAUAAAAUGAAAUUAUUAAAAUAUCCUUAACUUUAAACGUUAAUAUCUUCUUUGUUAUAACUUCGUUUCAUGAACGGUUUGUGCCUACACAUUCAUGAGAUCGAGCUCUAUUCAAAAAUAUAAAUUGUCACUCUGAAUAGUUUUCGGAUUUUUAAAUAAUAAAUUCCCAAACUUAGAACUUCUUAACCAGUUUAAUUUAAAACUAAACUCGAAUAAAUUAAUAUAAUUUCUUGAAAAAUAAUCUAAAAUCUCAAUCAUACAAAUACAUAAAUUAUAAUAAUUUCCGAAAAUAAAACUUUAAAAUUUUCCAAUUCUACUUUCAUAACCAUAAAUCGAUUUAUUUUCAAUUUUCUCCACAUAUUCAUAUAUUUAAAAUUUCAGGGUAUUACAUAUAUUGUAUUGGAAAAUAAACAACAAGAAAGUUCAGAUGCCAUACCCUUUAAUAGCCAUAACAAGUGUUGAAGUUGUCGAAGUUGUAGUUUUACUAGAACUGUUUGUUGUCGUUUCAGGUACAAUGUAAGGAAUAUUUCGUCAAAACUAGGUUUAUGGAUAAAAAAUAAAAAAAAACAUACCAACUCAAGCAGUAAGGAUAAACAACUAAAUUAUUCUAAACAAGUGAACUCCAAAUGUAAUGACCUGUCUCAAAAUUUUAUAAAUUUCAGAACGACAAGGGUAAAUUGGUAUUUUCACAUGUGAGAGAUAUUUGCAUGUUUGUCUCUUAUGACUUGUUUGGUGCGCCAAUGAGGCCCACCGCUUUUAUUUGGGGACUAGGAUUAUCUCUUCUGACACACCCUGACCCAAAAUAUCGAGAUGUGCUGGCAGUCACGUGAGGAUGACGUAGCCAUGCGCGUUGUGCGGAAGAAUUAAAGUGAAAGACAGUGAGGAAACGAAAAGUAAACCGAAUAAUUUACAUCAAAAGAUAAGUGAGUAAAAGUGAUGAAAAGGAAAGCAUAAAGCACCACAUCAAAGUUCAAGUAACCUAGGUGCAGUCCGGAAUAAACAAGUACUGAAUAAACGUUAACCAAAUAAAUCCUACAUGGAUGAUGCCUUGUUAAAACUGUCUCGAUGCCUCGCUCGCCACCAACGUCGCAACUACCUAAAACUUGGAGCGGCGCAAAACUGAAAACAUGAGUGGGUAAAAACAAAGUUUUUCCAAAACCGUUUCAAUAUCAAAAUAGUAACCCCUCUCCCUAUACUUUCUCAGAAAAUAUCAUCCAUACUCAAAUAUCAAUCAUGCUGGAAAACGAUAAAUCUCAAAUAUGCCAUGUUAGAAUACGACAUGUCGAAUUACCCAAUCAAAACAAAAUAAGUAUCAAGUAGGUGAGAUAAAUCAAAUCAUAAUAUGCCGCCAAUCUCAAUACGUCAGUUGGAGUCACCUAACGUGAACUGUACGACUGAAUAUAUAGCUCCUCAAUCACUAUCUUGCACACGAGUCGGAACCACCUAUAGUGGUCUGUACGACAGGCUGGGUGUAUAAUUACGCUCAGUGCUACGAUCACGUGAAGGCUGUGCAACGUAUCACAAGUCACCUAUGAGUCGGAACCACCUAUAGUGGUCUGUACGACAGGCUGGCACCUGCCUUGGGUCCAAGGUGAGCGUACGGUGCGGGAGGUGAACGAUCACGUGAAGGCUAUGCCGUACUCUGGCAGAGCACAAACACCGGGGUGCAGGAAUAUGAGCUAUAUCUCAAUCUCAUCAUCAUCACAACUAUCACUAACAAGUAUACUCACCUGACUUACCUGAGCGACGCCAAUUCAUAACCAACAUAAAUCAUAAUAAACAAUAAUGAUAUUCGACAUGGCAUUUCAAUUAUAAAACCAUUUUAAAACAUAAUAUCUGGGAAAAUAUCAAAUAUAUAUAUAUAUAUUCUGAAAACAAAAGCCCACUCACUGAUAAGUAGAAGGGUCUUAGCCCCCGAGCCUGGCAUGGCUGUGCUCGUCUUCUGGAUAAGCCUUACCUAUAUGUGAAACAACUAUAAAACCGUCAAUUAAACGCACAUAACCAACCUUAGGUAAUAACUUCUCAUACAUUGCUCAAUUGGAGGUGUUUGAAUCUAACAACAUGCUUUACUUAAUCUCAGAACACCCUCAUAUUUUUAGAAAAAAUUUCUUGUCACCCACGCGUAGGCACGUGCCUGGCACACGGACGGAACAGUUAAUGCCGUAAGGAAUAUUUUGUUAAAAAGUAACAGAUUCCAUUAAAUCUAACCUGACACUGUUAGAAUAUUCCAUCAAACUUGACGGAAUAUUCAUCGUCUCCUUCCUUGAGUCACGGGAGUCCGGCGCCGGUCGCCGUCUGUUUGCGGGUUUCUGGAAAAUUUUCAAAUGUUGAUAUCUCAGUCAAAUCUUAACUAAAUUUCACGAAAUUAACGUCAAAAUGAAGCUUAGGACAAGGGGAAGAAAUCUAUACCAAUUUGAGGUCCCAACGAUGCUGGAAUCUCGCCAGAGAAAUCUCGAAAAAUCUGAUCAACUAUAGAACUCAAGAUUUCGACAUCCAAAACACGUCAACGUUGCUCCCCAAGCUUCGUGAAGACGUCUAGAAACUCCCUGUGAUCUUAGAAUCUCUAAAAACCUCCUCAAUCACGAGUGCAUGAACAAUACCUUUAUUGGAGCUUUCAGGUUUCAAGGGUUUUCAAGGUUUUCAGGACAAACCAAGGGUAUAGUUGAACUUGCAAGGGUGCAAGGAGAAGCAUGUAUAUCCGUACUUAGGGUAUGGAAAAUAGAAGAAAAAUCGAGAAGGAGGGAGAGACAGAACCAGAAACAGAAAAGGAAGAAAAAGGGGUGCACGUGUGCAUGUGUGUGUAUAAGUUUAACCAAUCACACCAAAACUAAGCUCAAGUUCUAAUUGGGUCCAAUAAUUUGGGAUAUCACCCUAUUGGCCCAAUGUAGCUCACACACAUAACCACAAACACGUAAGGGUAAAAACGUCAAUUCAUGCCGUCGAUAAAAUUAUUUCGGGACGGUCUGUCACAUCCUCUCUUUUUUCACCCCCUUCUUUAAUAUUCUUUAUUUUGUAUUUUUUUAUAUAAAUAAAAUAUUAAUAUAAAAUGUAAUCAUGAUCUAUUUGAACGGAAAUUGGAUGGAAAAAAAAAAGAUGAGAGACUUCUCAUUUAUUUGGUCUCCUGGUCCUCCCUCUCUCUUCCUUUUCCCCGUCACUCUCCUCUCAUCUUGGACUAUCACACUCUCUAACUCUCCCGGCCCUCAUCUCUCUCGCACGACCCUCAUCCUCCUUCAAAACCCAAAAAACUGGCGAUUCCACGGAACUGAAACCAAGCUGAAGUCCCCAUCCUUCUCUGUUCCCCCAUCAUCACUGUUCUCUCCUCCCUCGGAACCCUGCAACAUCACCAUCGCGGCAGAGCCGCCUUCUCCGGCGAGUUCGUCGAUUUCCCGACUUGGGGUAAGCCUCGGGAUGCUUAAGAUCUUCAACUGUUACUUAUCUUUUUGUCCUAUUUGCUGCUAAUGAUUUGUAGCAAGAGUUGAUUUUUAACUGUUUCUAAUUGGUAAUGGAUUAAAGGAAGUUCAUUUACUAUUAGAGGUGCAUGUGAAAGUAAGCUUGAUUCGUAACCUCGUCGAGCAUUUGGAGCUCGCUUUGACUGAGGUUUUUCGAUUUGAUGUGAUGGCGUAUAAGCUUUUCUCAGUUUCUCGGUCAUUUUAAGGGUGACCAAGAUUAUCUCUGUGAGCAAUGUUGAGGUUAGGGAUUGGAAGUAAAUGAAAAGGGGUGUCUUUUCAUCAAAGGCUGAGGCCAAGAUUAUCUUUUGAGAAAACUUUGAGGCCUUACCUAGAUUGCAAGUCUCUGUUAAGUUCCAAUUGACGAAGAUGUUUAAAACUGUUGAAAUUAUACUGCCUUAAUUGAAAGGAGGCCUUACCUAGGAUAAUAUCUAGCUCAUUCGGGGUCUUUUUUUGGUUCUUUAACUACAUGAAAUUUGCAUUGAGAUGAAUUCUUAUCCUGAAUGAGUACAUGUGAGAAUCACGCGUGAUUGACGGAAAAUUAUGAAAUAAGAUAAUGAAUUCCGAAGGCUGGGUGCUCAGCUGGAGAUGCGGAUAAACAAAGAAUUAUAUGUUGAUUUGAAAAGGAAGACGUUUAUAUUGUUGAUUGGAGUAUAUAUGGCCGAUGAGAAUAUGCUAAACCGAUAGUUGCUCCUUGUAGGUUGCGGGGGAAGUGGUAACAUUAUGUGUUCAGAAUGUGGUGGCCGCGGGUAUCUAAGAUGACCAUACCGGUUCGCUUAUCUUCCUUGAAUUUGUUGUAUGUGCAAGUAACUUGUGUUAUAGCCAUGACGCUUUCCCUAAUUUUUUGUGGCUGAUUCCACGAUGAGUUAAGUGUAACAGUAAUGCAUCUGAUUCAUUUACUCUUCGAAAUGGUGUUCUUCCUCAGAUUUAUGUGCCAUUUAUCGUGUUGAAUGUUCAGAACCAUACAAUUACCACAUAACAAACACAAAGGAAACGAAAAAACUUGAAACAAAAGUUGACAAACAAACAACCAACGACAUAAGAAAACAGACUGCAUACUUUUAUUUAGACCAUUUUUAGUACCCUCAAAACUAAUUGGCAAGUUAGUUAAUCCCCAUGAGUGACAAUGCUGUCCAUAUUCUUGGCAACUACCUCCUUAGAAUCCCUCAGUUUUCUUAUGCUUUUGUUAAGCUUCUCACGCUUUACUGCCACUGCCGGGGACUCCUCCAACAUCCUCUCAAUUCCCCCACCGUAUGGUCCCAUCAACUCAUUCACAAUCUCAGCUUCCAUCUCUUUGUUCACAAGGUUGAAAACAGACAGCUGCAAGUGCAAUGCCAUGGAGUCCACAAGCCUCCUCAAAACAACCUUCCAAUAGGCAAUCAUUCUCAUUUUAAGGUCAUAAGCUUGAGCUAAAACAUGCGGGUACUUCCUCAGAACACCGACUUCGACUUCCCCGAUGCCUUCUAUAGCUAUG